rnacentral:rRNA from 1 species
UACGUUCCCGGGCCUUGUACACACCGCCCGUCACACCACGAAAGUGGGCAACACCCGAAGCCGGUGGCCCAACCCCUUGGGGAGGGAGCCGUCGAAGGUGGGGCUCGCGAUUGGGGUGA